rnacentral:rRNA from 1 species
GUGCCAGCAGCCGCGGUAAUACGUAGGUGGCAAGCGUUGUCCGGAUUUACUGGGUGUAAAGGGCGUGUAGGCGGGAAGGUAAGUCAGAUGUGAAAUUCCAGGGCUCAACUCUGGCGCUGCAUCUGAAACUAUCUUUCUUGAGUGAUGGAGAGGAAAGUGGAAUUCCUAGUGUAGCGGUGAAAUGCGUAGAUAUUAGGAGGAACACCAGUGGCGAAGGCGACUUUCUGGACAUUAACUGACGCUGAGGCGCGAAAGCGUGGGGAGCAAACAGGAUUAGAUACCCCGGUAGUCC